AUCGCUUCUCGGCUAUUUUUAGCUAAGAUCAAAAGUGUAGUAUCUGUUCUUAUCAGCUUAACAUCUGGUACACCUCACAUUGUGGGGUUCAUAUGUUAAACUAAUUUUUAAAAUUGGUGGAGAUUUGGGGCUUGCUCCUACUCCACCGCGGGUUGACCCGGUGUUGCAGUACCGUCGGGACCGGCCCAUAUUAA